CUAAUCCGAACCAAAUCCUCAAAGAUUUAAACUGAACACAAAAUCCUAAAAAAACCCGAAAACUAACCCGAACACCCACCCUUAUAUGUGUCAUCAUAGGUUACAAAAUAUGUGUUAUCGUAUAAUUAAUCGUAUUUUAUGCGUACCAUGAAAUAAGUUUUCUUAUAAUUAAUAAUAUUUUAUACGUACAAUCAUAUAAAUAAUCUCAUAUAUUAUAUUUUAAAAUUUA
rnacentral:lncRNA from 1 species